GUUUUCUGAAGGGGUAAAGGAAGGAGAAGCAUGCUUAGGUUAUUCAUGGUAGUUUUUGAUGAUUUAUGUAUGUAUACAUGUUGAUGUGUUAUGUUUGUUUUGUUGUUUGGGGUUAUUAGCUAGUUUUGGACCCCUGUGAACAUAUACUUGAGUAUAUGUGUGUUGACUACGUGAAGGAUGCAUGUUAGAAAGUGUUGAAGGGAAGAAGGAGAUGGUUUGCCGUUGAAGCUGAGUUCUGGAUGAACUCAGGUUCGGCAGCCGAAGGUUCAUUCGGCCGCCGAACCUCUUGCAUGGUGGCUUAGGCUGCCACAGCUUGCCCCCGCUAGUUGUGCAUGUUCGGCUCUGUUUGGGGGAUUCGGCCGCCGAAGGUGCCGCCGAAGGUGCUUGAGUUUCGUCUCUGGAGAGGACAUUCGGCCGCCGAACCUGCCGCCGAAAGUGUUCUGUCCAGCUUUCCUUUGCUUGCUUUGCAUGACUAUUAGAGAGAGGUUUAGGGGAUUCUUGGGGAGUUUAAAUAGAGUUAAUCAUAAGCUUGUUUGGUCCCUCAUUUGAGUCAAUCUGUAUAGGUACAGACCAGAGGAACCAGAGAGAGCAGCAGUGAGUACUGCUCCAGAGGUUCAGAACCUGCAGAGUCAGUCAGUCCAGAUAGCCAGAGGUGAGUGGAACUAAACUUAUGACUUUUAAUUGAACUACAAACUGCUUUUGAGCAUAUCUCAUGCAUCAUGUUUAUGCCAUAGGAUGAUUGCAUUAGUAUUCACGAAUAUGUUGCAUUGCAUCGUUAUUUGGUGAUGUGAGUGAAUGCUGAAUGAUCCAAUAGUCUCAGACAGGAAGUCCAGGAGCCUUUGACUACGCCCUGGCAGAUAUAGUGAAGUCCAGGAGCCUUUGACUACGCCCUGGCAGGUAUAUAGUAAAGUCCAGGAGCCUUUGACUACGCCCUGGCAAUGGUAAGUACACAGGUGUUAUAUACACAUAUACAUAUAUGACAGGAAGUCCAGGAGCCUUUGACUACGCCCUGGCACAGAGUUACUGGGACUAUGUGGUGACAGGUUUACUCUUGAUGUGGCUUGUCUAUGAUAUGGUGCAUUCCAUGAGAUCAUAUUUUACUGAGAUGUUUUACUGUUCUACUCACUGGGCUAUAGAGCUCAUCCCACUCCCUUAACCCCAGUUUUGCAGGUUC
rnacentral:lncRNA from 1 species